GUCUCAGGCCGUAUCAGCCUGAAGGCGCCCGAUCUCGUCUGAUCUCGGAAGCUAAGCAGGGUCGGGCCUGGUUAGUAUCUUGGAUGGGAGACCACCUGGGAAUCCCGGGCGCUCGAGGCU
ensembl:rRNA 5S_rRNA 5S ribosomal RNA